rnacentral:misc_RNA from 1 species
GAUGAAGAACGUAGCGAAAUGCGAUACUUGGUGUGAAUUGCAGAAUCCCGUGAACCAUCGAGUCUUUGAACGCAAGUUGCGCCCGAAGCCACUAGGCCGAGGGCACGCCUGCCUGGGUGUCACACGUCGUUGCCCCCCCAUCUACUCCUUCGGGAUUGCGGGGGGGCGGAUGAUGGCCUCCCGUGCGCCUAGCCGCGCGGUUGGCAUAAAUACCAAGUCCUCGGCGACGCACGCCACGACAAUCGGUGGUUGCGAAACCUCGGUUGCCCGUCGUGUGCGUUCGUCGCGCAUCGAGGGCUCGAAAAAAUGCUCGGCUUCGGCUCGGCUUUCAACGCGACCCCAGGUCAGGCGGGGUUACCCGCUGAAUUUAAGCAUAUCAAUAAGCGGAGGA